AAAGAAGAUGGAAUUUCAGAAAAAAAAAACCCUAAACCCUUUCUUCUCCCUCUCUCCCAGCCGACUUUCUCUCUCCUCACACUCUCCUUGGCCGAUCUUCCCUUCUUCUCUCUCUUUCGAAUUUGCUUCUUCUCUCCCUCAGAUUUCCUUUCUUCCUCUCUCGGAUUCCCUCUCAGUCGGUGUUUGAGGGUCGCGCGGGCGUAGUCUCGAGUGGUGCGAACUCGCGCUGCGAGCGACGAAGGCUGUGCGAGGGUUGAUUCGAGCGGUGCGCAGGCGUGCCGAGGUUGCGAGCGACGAAGGCUGUGCGAGGUUUGGUUCGAGCGGUGCGCAGGCGUGUCGGUUGUGCGCGAAGGUGUUCGAGUUGGGUGCGGUGUCGAGGAUUGUGCGAGCGAGGGUUUCGGUUGUUGCGCGGGGAUUGUGCGAACCAGCAAGGCUGGUGUGGGUGUCCGUGGGCGACGAGCGAAACCGGGCGAGCUACUGUGCACUCGCGUGUGUGGUGUGAUUUUCGGUCGCCGGAAUCCUUUCGCCGGCGAGUUUCAGCGGUCCCAAUUUCAUAAGCGGCUCGUUCUAUUAAGUCAGCGAAAAUUCUCCGUUACAAGACUAGGUGAGCUGGUGCUGCUGCAUGACAUCAAGCAUAUGGGGCUAGACUGUAGUUUGAAGUUAACUUUUGGUUUGAUCAUUAAUGAAUUUUAUAGAACAUUAUUACAUGGUUUGAGUUUGAAUAAAGAGGGGUCAUCUAUGAUUCCCGAGUUGUAACUACAUUUUCUAUUCCGCUGCAAUUUGGUUUUGAGACAAUGAAUUUGAGUUACCGUAUUUCUAAUUA